rnacentral:lncRNA from 10 species
CAGUGUUCUAACAGAAGUCUGUCUGUGGUUGCUUUGGACCAAGGCAGAGUGCUCUAAAGGUGGCUGUGCUGUACCCAGUACUGUGUCUUCUGAUAGAAGGUUCUGAAGCAACACUGUAACUGCUGAAUGCUUCUGGCUGCUUCUUUCCACAGUAAAAGAUGAAAAGAAAUAUCUUUUAUUGAGAUAGACUGAGGUCCAGGAAAAACAAGUGCAACUUCAUGGUCCUUUUCUUCAUAUUCUGGAAUACAAGAAAACGUGUAAAUGUUUGCAAAUUCAGGUACAUUUUCAACUGGAAUGUAACAUGUAGAGCAGUAGAACAUUCUGGAACCACCACAUUUGAGACAUUUUGAUCUCCCACUUUGCUGAGCUUUUUGAAGAACUUCUUGAGAUGCUAAACAUAAGUUUUGAAGGGGAUCUUCUGAAGCUAUGGAAGUAGUUUGUGACUGUUUUGUUUCCACAAAGUUUGAAUUAUUUUCUUCACUUCAUUUGAGAAAUAUAGGUGGAUUGAGAGACAUUCUUCAUUCAAACAAAAGUUUAACAGCUAUUUCUAAAACACAUAUCAUCUGAAGCUAUGGAAGUAGUUUGUGACUGUUUUGUUUCCACAAAGUUUGAAUUAUUUUCUUCACUUCAUUUGAGAAAUAUAGGUGGAUUGAGAGACAUUCUUCAUUCAAACAAAAGUUUAACAGCUAUUUCUAAAACACAUAUCAUAUGUGCACUGCGAGUCCUCGAACAGCUCCACGCGUCUCCAGCUCUGCCCAAGCCCGAGCCACGCGACGGGCUGUGAUCGCGCACGGACCAGACGAGAGCUCUUCAACUGUGUGAUCCAAAUGAAUUUGAGAACACCUAUUUACUGCUCCGCCCUGUGUCCUGCUGGCCAGAAGUGCCCAUCAAUUUCAAAGGCCUCUGUGUGACUGGAUUGAGGAAGCCAAGAGCAGGGAGAAGAAUAGAUCCAGGUCUUCCCAUUACUCCAAAAUGGAGCCUAGCCCUCUGGCAGCACAGUCGGCCAGCUGGGACCACGGUGGCCAUUACUGGAAGUGUGAUCAUCUGCCCUCUCUCCUCAGUGCCCUUGGAAUAUGUGCUCUUCUGUCUGGCUUCAAUUUCUCUUACUUCUUUGUGUGUGAAGAGUCUUCCUUUCAAUCAGCAAACUCUUCCUGCACACUAUAAAGCCCACUUUGGUCUUCAGAAUCUUUCAGUGCCUGAGCUUGUCAGUAUGAGGUUUCUCUUUCUUUAUUUCCAAAUGUCCUGCUUUCUUUGUGUGCAACUUCUUAAGAAUUUGGCAAAGUAAACAACAAAGCAGCAAUAUUUCAUAGGGUUUAAACUUCCCUUUGGUCCUGGAUAGAAAGGAUUUUUUUUUUUUUUUUGAGACGGAGUUUUGCUCUUGUAGCACUGGCUAGAGUGCAAUGGCGCAAUCUUGGCUCACUGCAACCUCUGCCUCCUGGGUUCAAGGGAUUCUCCUGCCUCAGCCUUCCGAGUAGCUGGGAUUACAGGCACCCACCACCACGCUGGCUAUUUUUUUUGUAUUUCUCAGGAGAGACAGCAUUUCACCAUGUUGGUCAGGCUGGUCUCGAACUCCUGACCUCAGGUGAUCCACCCACCUUGGCUUCCCAAAGUGCUGGGAUUAUAGGCCUGCCACCUGGAUCUAUUCUUCUCCCUGCUCCUGGCUUUUUCAAUCCAGUCACAAAGAGGCCUUUGAAAUUGAUGCCUGCCACCACACCUGGCAGAAAGGAUGUUUUUGUUUCUUCUUUUUCCUGUUCCUUUCUCUGCAAUCAUCUCUCUGAGUCUCAGACAUGUGGCACUGGUUGGCUGGCAGCACCUUCUGUGUGUCUGAGCCCUUACAUAGCUUCCAGAGGAAGGGGUGCUCCGUUGGGGUCCUGCCUGCUUUUGGAGCAUUAGAAUCUCCUUUUUUGCAAGCCUCUGUCUCCCAUCAUUUAACACCCAGCUGUGUCUCUCUGCCCACUGACCAGAAUCUUUUCGCAGUAGGUGGGUUUUAAAAAGCACUCACCAGAACUCCCAAAUGCUAGGGUCUCAUGGCCCCUCAAAAACUCAUUACCUUCUCUUUGGGAUCCUCAGACCUGGCAGGAACCUCACAUAGGAAGAAAGGCAGCCAGGGAGCAGGCAGUGAGGACAGGUUGUAAUCAGGCAGUUCUGGCUGGGCAUAAAGUCUGCUCCUGCUGAAGGCAAGCUGCUCAACACUGCACUGGACAUCCUCCAUGUGUGGAAUCUAGGCAAAGCAGCUCUGUCCUCUAUUAACAAAUAACUGAGCCUGGGCAAUCUGUUACUUCAACUGUCCUUUCAAGCCAGGCUUUGCAGUAACAGGAAUUUGAGGUCCAGCAUGCAGAGACAGACCUAAGUGUGAGCCUCUGCUACUUAUGAGCUGUGUGACCUGGGGCAAAUUACUUAACCUCUCUAUACCCUAUUCCCUUCACUUGUGCAAUAAGAAUAAAUAAUACCACACACUUCGGAGGCAUGGCGUAAGACUCAAAUGACUAAUAUAGGGAUAGUUCAGGGGCAGAUACACGGUUGGAAAGCACACUAGAAAUAUCAGUAGAAUCUGAAUUUUCCCCUACCUGCCUCCUUGUUUUCACUACAAAUAACAUUUCCUUUCCUGCUUUUAAGUCAAGAGGGGAACACACUGAUUCUUUAGCAGACAGUUUAGCACACACUUCAAGCCAGAGAGUGUACCAGCAAUGUGGAUUCAGAAAUAAAUAUGAUGGGAGCCCUGCUCUCACAGGAUGGGGUUGGGGGUGGGGGAUAAAGUCCCAAGGGAGUUGGACAGUCUCCAGAUGGGUAGUCACUGCUGGGCAGAAACACAUGAGGGAAGUGUCAGGAGCCCGAAAGAAGCUCUGAACAGGUUGGAACACGUUUUCUGGAGGAUGGGACAUUGAAACUGAAUCACCUACAAUGUUGAAGGCAGAUGGUAACCUAAGAAAGGUAAAGCCUUGUUAAUCAAAUCAAUUCUUUUCACUUUAACUGUAUUGGAAAGAUACUUUAAAAAAUCUUCAUAACAACUGAAGCUCGAUGAUGCCUUGAUUCUGCAUUAACAUCCUUGCCCAUUUCUUGAUACAUUUUCAAUUUACCUUCAUGGUAAUUUACACUCAAGGAAGCUGUCCAAGAUAUGCGGGGGAUUCAAUAAAAUAGGUCAUGGAGUUAAAUGCUGUGGUGAAACACAGGGCUUAAUUUUAUGGAUAAAAUUUAAACUGCUUAGCUGCCUUUUUUGCAUUAUUCAUGUUAAGACUAAUGAUUACUCACUAAAUGGGAAGGAAUCACUGUAGAAAUCAGGAAGCCAUUUUCUUAAUUCUUUAAGCACAUCUGAUGGAGCUGUGGACUCUGCCCUUGAGGUUAACAGCAUUGUAUUAGGGAAGAGACCUGCUUGGCCCACCAGUCAACCUCCCUUGCCUGGGCUGCUCCUGAAACUGCUACAGGAACAGGAAACUUGAAACAAGAUUUUUUCCUAAAAUUGACAUUGGGUAGAAUGAACAGGAUAGAAGACAAUAUAUUAAUGUCAGUUCCUUCUGGUAUUUUUCAAAGUGAAGUCUGCAUUGAUGUCAUUGACAAAAAUGCAAAUUCCAGAUUGUAACCAAAUCUGCUUACUGGCAGUGAGGUUUAGGCACUUUAAUUAUUCACAAGCAUCCCAGGCAAUUCUUAUGUGCUAGUGGAGAACCACAGAUUGGCAUUGGCUAUAGAGAGACCACUUCCUUUCAGUCAUCCAAGGUUAUUUUAUUAACUUAGCACUGGGCUCCAACGUAAACAAGGGCUACUUUUCUAUAAUGAUCAAAUUACUAAUUUUAUAAGUAUAGAAUAAAAGGAUAUGGGUUUCUUAGAUUGUAAAUGUUUGAUGUAGUUAAUGCAAUUUCAUUUUUGAGGUUUGUUUCUAAUAAUACUCUUAAUUUACAUGUCUAAUGGAUUCCUUGUACACAAUUCUGAUCAUGUAAAUUUAAGAUGAUCUUUUCCACUUUGCAAUACAAGACAUUUAAAAUAACCUAAAGUUGCCCAUUCUCACUAAGCACCUGAAAAUUAGUCCCUGUGGGGAAACUUUUUUCAAGUUUUAUUUUUCUUUUUAUUUCAAGUGUUGUUUAUAUUGUUUCUCUAACUGUUCUACCUAAUGAUUGAUAGGCACCUACCUUCCCCAAAGAAAAAGGGUUAAGUGAUCAAAUAUGUUUGGGAAACACGAGGGCAAACAAAGUGAAACAGACUUUUACUGCAGAUUGCGGAUCCUUUGAGAGCCCUUAAUGUGCACAGUAAUUCUCCAAGAAGGGGACAGAAGUCCCUGGGCUUCCCAUGCUUGUUUAGUUUUUAUGGAUCCCUCUGCUGGAUGAGUGUUCACAGGACCACACUUUGUGAAAUACUCAGUCAGCUCUAUCAGCAAAUUAUAUCACGGGAAUUGGUUACUUUCAUUUGGAUGCUUUGCCCAUGUUACCCAGACUUAGGAAAAUAUUUUACAAUUUGGGGUGUAUAUGAGAUAUUUGGGGGCAUUUUCUCCAAUAUCAACUUCCUGCUUCUGAAAUUCAGGUUAAAACACUGACCUAAAUUACGGAAAUCACAAUCUCCUUCACCAUCACCAACAGUGCCACCAUCAUCAAAUCAUGAUCAGCAUCGACCAACACGAUGAUUCCCACUACCACUAUCACAUUAAUAGCACCACUACCAUCCUACCGUGCCCAGCGAGACAACUGCCAUCACGGUCACUAUGACCAACACCAUAUUACCACCGCUGCCACUAAUAUGCCUCAUUGCUAUGCCAAUAAUCACUAACAGCAUUACCACCACACUCCAACUAACCAAUGCUGCUGCCAUCAUUACUGCCAUGAUCUGUACUACCACCACUGCCACUAGUGCAAACAUCACCACUACUGCUGUUAAAGCAGCCACCACCACUGCACCCACUGUCGCCACUGUCCUUUCCACAUCCAGAUGAAGAAAGAAGAAGAGAUAGAAAGCAUAGUUUCAUUAUUCUAGGUCAUAUUCAAAGGUUGGUCACUAGAUAUAAUUGCACAUAUGUUCCCCUAGUUACUAUGGCAUCCCAAUAGCCAUCAAGUGGAACCAGACAUGGUAUCAUAGCAGAAUCCUGAGGUCUAAGGUCUAGUUUAAAUAAGACUUCUGAUCCAAGGUAGGGGUCCCUCAAUUACCUCUAUGACAGGAGGCAAAGAUGUCACACACGACUGCAUGUCAGCUAAACUCAUUGGAAGAUUCAUUUCUGCCUUCAUAAAUGUAGACACUGGGCUUCAGCUAGUUGUAAGGGAGCAGCCCCUGGUGCAAGCCACGUAGCAACUAGAGGGGCUUUAAAAUCAGCACAAAAUUAAGUUUUAUUGCUGCUUUGAGGAAUGUUCAGGUUGGUGGGAGGGGAUUACAGCAGACAAGUGUUUAAUUUACUCAACUAUAUGCUCAAGUUUAUGUAACUGAGCUAUUUUAAAAUUACAUUUUAUGUAUGCAUUGCUGUAUAUAUUGCACAUAUAUAAAUGUACAAUAAUAAUAAAGAGUGGCAUAUAUGAGUCUCAGGAAUUGUGCCAAAGGCUUUACAUAUACUCUCUUUAAUCCUUUUAACUCCUGUAUGAAAGGAGUGUGACUGUCAUUCUCAUUUUCCUAAUGAACAAACUGUGGCAUGAAGAGGUUAAAUAAUUAGCCUAAGCUUACAAAGCUAAUUAAUUGUAAGACUAAGAUCUAAACCCAGGUAGUCUGGUUCCAGGGCCCAUGAUCUUAACCAACACUCUACAUUUUAACACACUGUCUGCACAUUGUCUACACACAGAUGCAGUGUGUGUACAUCAGUUGUAUAAAUAUAUCAUCUUGCAUGAAGUAAUUUAAGGGAUGUUCAAGGAUAUUGUUGAUUAUAUGCAAUUUAUCUCAUGUGCUGAUUUUUAAGCCUAGUCCCAGAGGAAAUGCAAGUUCACUGAAAUCUAAGGGGGGAAAAAAGACACGAAAAACCAACAAGUGCAAAGCAGUGUGGUGCAGAAUGUGGUGGCAGAGCAACAACCACUCUCAGCAAAAUCCUCAUUAAUUCAUGCCAGUGUGUUCAAGUUCUUAGUGCGUCUCAAGAAAAAAUAUCUCAGGUUCGAAUUGCUGCAAAGUUUUUCAAGCACAUCCACCGAUAGCAAGACCCACUGGAGGCAGAUCAGCGAUGAGUCUGAGGGCGGCACAAAGGGUGCUACCAGGUGAUCACCAGUCCUUCCUCCUCAUCCUUAUUCAUUCCUUAGACAUCUUGAUAUUAGAAAUUAUUGGUUUGUGAAUGCACCUAUUGUUAACUCUUUCAAUAUACAAAUACAUGCAAACAUAUGUAUAUUCUACAUAUAUGGACAGGCACAGAUUUUUUUUUAUGUUGGGCUCCCUCAAACAGAAUUAAUCUGUGAGGGUAUAAACCCACUUCACAAUGUCCACAGUGGGGCCAAAACCGCUUUUGAGGUGAUCAACUCUAUGCUGGGAGCAGGGGAGUUCUGGGCUGAACUCAAAGAUGCUUUUCAGCUCUAAAGUACCAUCAUCAUCUUCAUCCUCAUCUUCCUUUUCUCUUAAGUGCCCAGAAUGUGCCAGGCUCUGUGCUGUUUACAGGGUUUAUAUUCUCACAAAAAUCUCAAAAGCCAAUUGCCAGAAUUUCUCUAAAGUUUCUUAAUUGGUUUGGCACAAGCUGGAAAUGGUAGUGCUUGGAUUUGAAAGCAGGCCCAUUUGCCUGGCUUUGAAGUUUUUUUUUUAUGUUUUUGGUGCUUGUUUUUACCAUACUACGCAUCUCUUAAAUUCUUUGUCCCUAAAAUGGGGGAGGGGGCAAUAAUGCCAACCUCAUGGGAUUGUUUUGGCAAUUAAAUAACAAUGUAAAAUUCUUUUUGUAAAAUUUAAAGAGCCAUGCACAUAUAACAUUACUAUUAUUUUGGCUUCAUGUGAUUUUUUUUUUUUUCUGUAACAAAUUUACUUAAAUAUCUAGAUAAUGACUUCAAGAAAAUUGUCUUCCUUUGUAAUUCUACAUAUUUUAUUUUUAAAUAAUUUUAGACUUAUGAGUGUUUUAAAGAUAGUACAAAGAGUUCCCAUAUAUCCUUUAUUCAGCUUCUACUAAUGUUAAUAACUUAAAUAACCAUGGUACAGUGAUCUGAACCAGGAAACUAACAUUAAUUCAACACUGAUCUAGAGACAUCAUUUCUAUUUCCCUAUUGUUCCACAGUUCAAUCGAGGAUCUCACAUUGCACAUAGUUGUCCUGUAUCUACAGUCUCUGCUAAUCAAGGACAGCUCCUCAGUCUUCAGCACCUGGGCUUUUACAAAGAGCACUGGUCAGUUAUUUUGUAGAACAUCCCUCAGUUUGGUUGGUGUUUUCUCAUGAUUAGAUUAAGCUUAUUCACCUUAGGCAAGAAUACCUCAGAACUGAUGCUGUGCUCUUCUCAAUACAUCCUACAUCAGAGGGUACAUGAUGUUGAUUUGUCUUCAUUUUGGUCAUAUUAACUUUGAUACUUGGUUGAGUGGUAUAUUCUAGAUUUCUCCACAUAAGUUAGUAUUUCCCCCUGCGUAUCUGUAAAUAAUAUGUGUCCUGUAAGAAAACACUUUGAGAUUAUGUAAAUAUCCUGAUUCCCAUCAUAUUUCACCUACUAAUUUUAGCAUCAUUGAUGAUUCUGCUCUGUAACAAUUAUUACUGUUAAAUUAGUUUGUAAAAUAGUUAUUUUCUAUUUCUGACAUUCUUUCUACAAUAUUAAUUAGUAUUCUACCGUAAGGAAGGAUUGACCUUUCUCCUGCAUUUCUGUAUUCAUCUAAUCAUUUAUUUUUGUCAAUAUGGAUUCAUGGGUACUUAUUUUAUUCUGUGGGGUGUAAUCCCUUCUCAUUAUGUAUUUUGUUCCUCAAAUUAUCCCAGAUUUGCCCAAUGAAAGCUCCUUUAAGUUGGCUCCUGUGGCUUUUUUACAUUCUCCCAUCAUUUAAGCAUUUCCUUGCUUUCAGAACUGCAAGAUGUUCAGGCUUAUCUUGUAAGCUCCCUGCCCCAGCCCUGGAAUCAACCAUUUCUCCAAGGAGCCCUGGUUUCUUUUAUUGAAGAAUGGCAUUUAGAAACCAAGGGGACUAGCUGUACUCAUUGCUACUGGGGUUUCAUGGUUUCUAGGCCCUCUUAGAAGGCAAAGCUAGAAAAUUUUAUAUAAAUAUAUAAUUAUAUUAAUUAUAUCUGCAACUAUCUAUAUCUAUCCUCAAAUGUGUACACACACCACUCUGUACUUAUUUCUAAAACUAUCCAUCUGUAUACAUAUUGAAAACUGUUCAUACUGAAACCUCCAAUUCCAAUACAACACCAAAGAGUUUAUUUUAGCCUCCACUCCUUUAUUCAUAAUUCCUUUCUUCAACUUAAGAAACCUGGCUCCAUUAUCUACAAUCAUUUACUCAAUCUUAGUACUUACAUAAAAUAGUUUCAAAAUUGCUCAUCCACACCCCUGUGGAAAACAAAUUACUAACUAGUGAACAGGACUUGUGUACACCUUUUCUUGUCCUUAGCCUUGCAGUAUCCAAUCACAAUGCUGCUUUCCAUAUUACUGAGGUUAUUUUCUUUCCUACUGCCCUCAGUGUGGCUAUGUAUUCAUUUGUAAUAGAGCCAGGCUCAUUUGUUACUAUUUGCAUUUCAUCUUGGGUUCCCCUUGCCUCCUGAUUGGCUUUCAUUGUAUAUUUAGUUUUCUGGCAUGUGAUCCCAUUGUUCCAAUAGUCAGAGCUAUAUAAAGAGGAACACUCAGAGAAGGGUCUCUCUGCCCUCAUCCUAUCUUCUACCCCUUUGCCAUUUCCCCAUUCUUUCUAUUCUGUUCCCAUCUACCCGUUGUAAGCCACCAAUUUCAUUAGUUUAUAAAAUCUAUUCUUAAAUGAUUUUGUCCUUUUAAGAUUUAUUUUCCCUAUAAUUAUCAGUAACUCAUAAAUUUCCCCAAGGCCUAACUCCGUCUUGACAACCCCAUCUUUAGGAAUAUUUAUACAGACACAUCUAUUCAAUUCACUUUAAUUAAUGUCUUUGUGCUGCUGGGAAUUUUACCUCACUCUGUUUUAUCUGAGGCAUCCUGGGUUUUCUGAAUGCUCUUUGCAUGGUUUCUCUUUAUGGUCUGUUUAGCAAAGAAGCCAACUGCUGGUUCUCCACUCUGAAUGAUCAUCGCUUCCCAUUUGGAAGACAAAGAUGGUUACUGGCCUUGGCAUAUUAACCCUGGAGCUGCCUCCUCAGGAAGUGAAGAGUUGGGCUUGGCUGGCUGGUAUAGCAGCAGCGACAGCAGCAGAGACAGCAUGGCCUGCUCAGAAGGGGCGCCCUAGUUGCCAAGGAUGAGGGCACUGGCUUUGCACUCUUUGAGACUGGGGCUUUACCUAACAAACACUUGCAAAACUUAUUACCCCUCCAGUCCUCAAGUUUCCUUGUACCUAUAGAAUAGGAAUGUUAAAACUUACUUCACACAACUGUUUUGAGGAUGAAUUGGCUAUUUGAAAACUUGGGCACUGGAAGAAGUCCAGUGAAGGACAGUGUCACUUCCGCUGUUCACCCUUUCAUGCUUAAUUAACAUUUAAUUAAUCAAAUAUGUUGUUUCUUUUUGUAUUUUUUUAACUGAGAUAAAUGUAGAUUUACAUAUAGUUGUAGAAAUAAUACAGAAUUAUCCCGUGUACCCCUUACCUAGUUACCCCCAAUGGUAACAUCUUGCAAUAUUAUACCACAAUGUCACAACCAGGAUAUUCAGAUAGAUGUCAUCCACUGAUCUUACUCAAAAUUCACUCAUUUUCCAUACAGUCCUUUGAUUGUGUGGUAGUUCUGUGAAAUUUCAUCCCAUCUGUAGUUUUCAUGUAAUCAUCGCCACAGUCAAGGCACAGAAUGCUUCACUUCCAUCACUAUAAGGAACCCUUGUGUUGCCCUUUUAUAACCACACCCACUUCUCUCCUGUCUCCCAAACUCCAUCUCUAAUCCCUGUUAACCACUGAUAUGUUCCUUACUUACACAAUUUUAUCAUUUCAAGAAAGUUACAGAUAUUGAAUCACAUAGUAUGUAACCUUUUAGGAUUGGUGUUUUUCACUCAGCAUUAUUCCCUGGAGAUCAUCCAAGUUGUUGCACGAAUGAUUUGUUUCUUUUAUUGCUGGGGAGUAGUCUAUGGUAUGGAUGUAUCACAGUUUAAUUAUUCGCCCCUUGAAGGACAUUUGGGUGGUUUCUAGUUUCUGGCUAUUGUAAAUGAAACUGUGAUGAACGUUUGUGUACAGGUUUCUGUGUGAACACAAGUUUUCAUUUCUCUGGGAUAAAUGCCUGUGAGUGCAACUGCUGGGUCAUAUGGCAAUUGCAUGUUUAGUUUUACAAGAAACUGCCAAACUGCUUUCCAGAGUGGCUGUGCCAUUUUAAAUUCCCUCCAGCAAUUAUAAGAGGUGCAGUUUCUCGGCAUUCCUUCCAAAAUUUGAUGGUGUUGCCAUUUUUUAUCUUAGCCAUUUUGGCAGGUGUGUAGUAAUAUCUUAUUGUGGGUUUUACGUUGCAUUUCCCUAAUUGUUAAUGUUGUUAAAUAUUUUCUCAUGUGCUUAUCCGCUAUCUGUGUAU